GACAAACGCAGGCGGCGUGCCUAACACAUGCAAGUCGUACGAGAAAGGGUCCUUCGGGGCCUGAGUAAAGUGGCGCACGGGUGAGUAACGCGUGGAUAAUCUGCCCUUCAGUUGGGAAUAACUCAUCGAAAGGUGGGCUCAUACCGAAUAAUGCUGUGAGACCUCGGUUGAUCAGCCAAAGAGAGCCUCUGCUUGCAAGCCCUCGCUGAAGGAUGAGUCUGCGGACCGUUAGCUAGUUGGUAGGGUAAUGGCCUACCAAGGCGACGAUGGUUAGCAGAUCUGGUAGGAUGACCCGCCAGACUGGAGCUGAGACACCGUCCAGACCCCUACUGGGGGCAGCGGUGCGGAAUCUUGCGCAAUGGGGGCAACCCUGACGCAGCAACGCCGCGUGAGUGAGGAAGGUCUUCGGAUCGUAAAGCUCUGUCGGAUGGAAAGAACCGCAUAGGGGUAAACAGCCCCUGUGUCUGACGGUACCAUCAAAGGAAGCACCGGCUAACUCCGUGCCAGCCGCCGCGGUAAUAC
rnacentral:rRNA from 1 species